UUCAAGAUUGAUCAUCUCGAGCCAUCCGUUGAGGGUGGAAAUUUAAGAAUAAAUAAGUUUUAAGCAAACUUGUUUAGUCGUCUUUUUCAAACUAUGUUUCAUUCAUAUGAUAGAAUUUUAAUAUGGGUUUAAAUAAAUUGGAUCUUGGCGGAGGCUUCCCGGAUAAAUACUUACUUUCUUUUAUCCAUAUUGCUCCAUAGAUAGCAAGUUUUAAUUAGUAUAAAAAAACUAAACCAAUGACUAUUCAUGAUUCCAUCCAUAUUGGAUCAAUUCUCUAUACCACUUUGCAAUGAAAAGAGGAAUGUUUGUUAUGGUAAAACUUCGUUUAAAACGAUGUGGUAGAAAGCAACAAGCUGUCUAUCGAAUCGUUGCAAUUGAUGUUCGAUCUCGAAGAGAAGGAAGAGAUCUUCAAAAAGUAGGUUUUUAUGAUCCGAUAAAGAAUCAAACUUGUUUAAAUGUUCCAGCUAUUCUCUAUUUCCUUGAAAAGGGUGCUCAACCGACAAGAACUGUUUAUGAUAUUUUAAGGAAGGCGGAAUUCUUUAAAGAAAAAGAAAGCACUUUGAGUUAAUUGAAGAACUAAAUGAAUCAAAAAGUAGGAUAGGAGAAGAUUAUUAGUAUUCCUAGUUGUAUAAUUAUUUAGACACAAUUUACCUCUUUCUUAAUCCUAUUUGGAUUUAUAUUAUAUCGUGCUAAUCCAACAUAAGCCCCUAUUUUAUUUACUUUUUCUAUCUAAUUUGUUUUCUUACCAUUGUAUUUCCAUUGACAAAGGUCUAUUGAACAAAUAGAAUUUGUAGAUAGAUGGGUCUCUUUAUCCUCACUCCAUAUUCCAUUUUUCUCCCUACACUUCGCUCAAAUGAUAAGGGUGUUCCUCUUGCAUGUAUUCUCAUACAAUAUAAUAUAUAUUUUUAAUAAAAAUCGCUAAAAAUAAGGAGAAUUUGGCCAUCGUGAUUAGGGUCGCUCGUUUUUUAACUUUACUUUAGUGGAAUUUAACCAGACCUGUUCGUUUUGGCAUUUGAGUGUUUUUCAUGGUCGAUAAAAAAAAUCUUUUGAUGUCUUACUAGUUCAAUGUUUUGACAGAAGCGCGUGGUGUAAUUCCAUUGAUUUUUGGAUUUCGAUCGUAUCUAAGAUCCUUUUUUUAUCUGGGUUGCUAACUCAAUGGUAGAGUACUCGGCUUUUAAGUGCGACUAUGAUCUUUUACACAUUUGGAUGAAACAACAAAUUCGUCCAGACUCUUGGUAGAGUCUAGAAGACCACGACUGAUCCUCAAAGGUAAUGAAUGGAAAAAAUAGCAUGUCGUAAUAAAAUCAAUCUUUUUUGAAUGGAAUCCAAAAUUACGAUUUUCUGGGUCUAGUGAAUAAAUGGAUAGAGCCUGGCUCCAAUUCUGGUAAAAUAAAAAGCAACGAG
rnacentral:rRNA from 1 species